AGCGUUGUAGUGUAGUGAUUAUCACUCGAGAUUCUGAUGAUCAGGUCAUGAAUCUCGUUGAUCAUUCUCGUAACCCAGGUUCGAGCCCUGGCAGUGUCU